UACGUAGGGGGCUAGCGUUGUCCGGAUUUAUUGGGCGUAAAGAGCGUGUAGGCGGCCAGAUAGGUCUGCUGUGAAAACUCGAGGCUCAACCUCGAGAUGUCGGCGGAAACCAUUUGGCUAGAGUCCGGAAGAGGAAAGUGGAAUUCCUGGUGUAGCGGUGAAGUGCGCAGAUAUCUGGAGGAACACCGGUGGCGAAGGCGGUGGUCUGGGCCGGAACUGACGCUGAGGAGCGAAAGCGUGGGGAGCGAACAGG
rnacentral:rRNA from 1 species